UACCGAAGACAGUUAGGCGUCAUAGAGUCAAUGUCGAUGGCAAUGUCUGUACUGUCAUGGUAACCACUUUGGUUCUUGAGGGAUGGCAGCGGAAACUUGAUCCCCGGUACAAUGUGAUGCAAACACUGCUUCUCAAAGCUGACUGAGGGGCUAAUGGCUCCAUAAGAAGAUUUCAUGAAGGCUUGCUUUCCAGUGAGCAAGGUGCCUACAUUGCAGAGUCUAUCGCUGCUAAGAACAUGAAACAAGCGAAGAGCCGUUUUCGGAUGUAUGAGGAUGCCACAGAUCAUGGUGGUUCUAAUCAUUCUGCAAAAGUAGAGCCAGCCAAUGGUUGUACAGGUGAAAGGGAAACUGGGAAGUCUGCAAAGAAACUUGAUAAAGGAAGGACUGCAAAAGAGGAGACCUCCAAACGCAAGAAGGUCCGAGAAAUACAGAAAAAUCUAUUAUUAGUAUCACACCUUUUAUUUAUUUUAAUACAUGCACAAAUAGAUAUUAUA